GGAUUAGAUACCCUGGUAGUCCACGCCGUAAACGAUGAGUGCUAGCUGGUGGGUAUGUCUACCUGCUUACCGGCGCAGCUAACGCAUUAAGCACUCCGCCUGGGGAGUACGGCCGCAAGGCUAAAACUCAAAGGAAUUGACGGGGGCCCGCACAAGCGGUGGAGCAUGUGGUUUAAUUCGAUGCAACGCGAAGAACCUUACCCAGGCUUGACAUCCUUGGAAUCCUUCCGAAAGGGGGGAGUGCCACCGCAAGGUGGAGCCGAGUGACAGGUGCUGCAUGGCUGUCGUCAGCUCGUGCCG
rnacentral:rRNA from 1 species